CCUACGGGUGGCAGCAGUGAGGAAUAUUGGUCAAUGGGCGCGAGCCUGAACCAGCCAAGUCGCGUGAGGGAAGACGGUCCUAUGGAUUGUAAACCGCUUUUGGCGGGGAGCAAAAGACGGCACGCGUGGCGUUCCUAGUGUAUCCGAAGAAAAAGCAUCGGCAAACCCCGUGCCAGCACCCGCGGUAAUCCGAAGGAGGCGAGGGUUAUCCGGAUUUUUUGGGUGUAAGGGGUGCGCAGGCGGAAGAUCAAGUCAGCGGUAAAAUUGAGGGGCUCACCCUCGUAGAGCCGUUGAAACUGGUGUCCUUGAGUGAGCGAGGGGUAGGCGGAAUGCGUGGUGUAGCGGUGAAAUGCAUAGAUAUCACGCAGAACUCCGAUUGCGAAGGCAGGAUACCGGCGCUCAACUGACGCUGAGGCACGAAAGUGUGGGUAUCGAACAGGAUUAGAUACCCUUGUAGUC
rnacentral:rRNA from 1 species